rnacentral:rRNA from 1 species
AAAUCCAGUCAAUAGGUUUUAUUUGGAUGGGUACCCUUAACUACCAUGGGAUAAACUGUCGGUAAUUCCUAGAGGCUAAUUACAUGGUUGAAAAAAUCCCCGACUUUCUGGAAAGGGGAUGGUAUUUUAUUAGAUCCCAAAACCCAAUUGGCCUUUCGGGGUCCCCUAUGGGUGAAUUCCAUGAUAAACUGCUUCGAAAUCCGCAUGGUCCUUUGCGCCCGGGCGAUUGCUUUCAAUUCAAAAUAUUCUGCCCGUAUCAAACUUUUCGAUGGGUAGGAAUAGAGGCCCUACCCAUGGGUGAUGACCGGGUAACCGGGGAAUAAGGGGUUUCGAUUUCCGGAGGAGAGGGGCCUGAGAAAACGGCCCUUCAGGUUCUAAGGGACCACGCAGGCAGGGCGCGCAAAAUUAUCCCCCUGGCAAACACUUUGACCGACGAUAGUGACCAAUAAAUAACCAAUGCAGGGGCUCUUACCGGGUCUCUGCAAUUGGAAUUGAGUACACAUUUAAAUCCCCUUAACCGAGGAUGCAAUUGGAGGGGCAAGUUCUGGUGCCCAGCAGCCCGCGGUAAUUCCAGCUUUCCAAUACGCGUAUAUUAAAAAUUGUUGCCGUUAAAAAGCUCGUAGUCGAACUUCGGGCUCUGUCAGCCGGUCCGCCUUCUUGGUGUGUACUUGUUUGACGGAGCCUUACCUCCUGGUGAACGGCGAUGUCCUUUACUGGGUGUCGUCGCAAACCAGGACUUUUACUUUGAAAAAAUUAGAGUGUUCAAAGCAGGCCUUUGCCCGAAUACAUUAGCAUGGAAUAAUAAAAUAGGACGCGCGUUCCCAUUUUGUUGGUUUCUGAGAUCGCCGUAAUGAUUAAUAGGGAUAGUUGGGGGCAUUUGUAUUCCGUCGUCAGAGGUGAAAUUCUUGGAUUGCCGGAAGACAAACUACUGCGAAAGCAUUUGCCAAGGAUGUUUUCAUUGAUCAAGAACGAAGGAAGGGGGAUCGAAAACGAUUAGAUACCGUUGUAGUCUCUUCUGUAAACUAUGCCAAUUGGGGAUCGGUACAGGAUUUUUAAUGACUGUAUCGGCACCCGAAGAGAAAUCUUUAAAUGAGGUUCGGGGGGGAGUAUGGUCGCAAGGCUGAAACUUAAAGGAAUG